rnacentral:rRNA from 1 species
GAACGCGACCGAUGGGGCACUCCUCUUAUUAGAGUGGCGAAUGGGGCAUUAAUGCGUGGACAACCUACCUUGGGGACGGGAGCACUAUGGUAAUACCUGUAAAUUCCCGGCGAUAUGGUGAGACCUCCUGGCCUUGCCAUGAAAUGAAUUUCGCCUCUAGAGGGGUUCACGUGAUAUUAGCUUGUUGGUGAGGUAACGGCUCACCAAUGCGAAGAUGUCUAUCGGGUGUGAGAUCACGACCCGCGCCACUGGCACUGAGACACUGGCCAGACACCUACGGGUGGCUGCAGUCGAGGAUCUUCGGCAAUGGGCGCAAGCCUGAUCGAUCGACUCCGCGUGCGCGAUGAAUGCCUUCGGGUUGUAAAGCGCUGUCGAGGGGGAUGAAAUCCCGCAAUGGUCUGACCUAUCCCUGUAGGAAUCACGGGCUAAGUUCGUGCCAUCAGCCGCGGUAAG